rnacentral:rRNA from 1 species
UACCAGCACCCCGAGUGGUCGGGACGUUUAUUGGGCCUAAAGCAUCCGUAGCCGGUUCUACAGGUCUUCCGUUAAAUCCAACUGCUUAACAGGUGGGCUGCGGAAGAUACUAUAGAGCUAGGAGGCGGGAGAGGCAAGCGGUACUCGAUGGGUAGGGGUAAAAUCCGUUGAUCCAUUGAAGACCACCAGUGGCGAAGGCGGCUCUCUGGGACGGUACUGACGCUGAGACGCGAAAGCGUGGGGAGCAAACAGG